rnacentral:misc_RNA from 1 species
CUCAUCUUCUUGUUCUUGGGUUUCUUGAAAUUUCCAACUUUCCUUUCAGAGCCCAUCUCUCUUUCUCUGUUCUUGAGCUAUUUUCUUGAUCUUGUUUGUUUUGAGAGAAAAGAAAAAGGAAAAAAAAAAAAAAAGAAANNNUGGUGAUGGGGGAUUCAUAUGAUGAAGGGUGUGAUUACCUGUUUAAAGCAGUUCUAAUUGGGGAUUCAG